CAUUUUAUCAACACGUAGAGCCUGACAUUUUCAUAAUCAAGUCAAAAUGUAACAUUUGUGGUAAAAUUAAAUCAAAGUGCUUACACACAGUGCUCUCCGGAAUGCGUCUGAUUUUGAUAACAUUAGAUGAUAAUUUUGAAAUCAUAAUUAUAAUGUUUAAAUAAACGUGCCUUUUUUGUAGAUUGGCAGCGUCAUGGAUCUCAGUAAUGACAAGCGUGUGGUGUUUCACCAUUCUACGUAGUCGUGACUGGAUGGGUUUACGAAAAAAAAAAAAAAAAAUACAGGAUCGGCUUCCAAAUAGGAAAUUGCGUCAUGUCAUCAAAGAUAGAUUGACAAUGGAAUGGAUUGCGUAGUAAGGAUAGUGGAUUUGAUGUUUUACGUGGUCUUGUCUGCUACAGUUGACUAUGAUUCUGAUAGACUACCUGACAUCAGAUUUUGGAGAAAUAUUCCAUCAAUAAAAGUUAUGGCAUAUCUCCCCAUAUUUUUAAAUGAAUAGUCUACUAAUUGAAAUAAAUGAAAAUUUUGAAUAGAAA